AACGAACGCUGGCGGCAUGCCUAACACAUGCAAGUCGAACGAGACCUUCGGGUCUAGUGGCGCACGGGUGCGUAACGCGUGGGAACCUGCCCUUAGGUUCGGAAUAACUCCCCGUAAGGGGUGCUAAUACCGGUUAAUCUCUUCGGACCAAGGAUUUACCGCUUUUGGAUGGGCCCUCGUUGGUUUAGCUGGUUGGUAGGGUAAACGCCAACCAAGGCGAUGAUCCUGAGCUGGUCGGAGAGGAUGCUCAGCCACACUAGGACUGAGGCCCGGCCCAGACUCCUACGGGAGGCAGGAGUAGGGAAUAUUGGACGAUGGGCGAAAGCCUGAUCAAGCAAUGCCGCGUGAGUGAUGAAGGCCUUAGGGUUGUAAAGCUCUUUUACCCGGGAUGAUAAUGACAGUACCGGGAGAAUAAGCUCCGGCUAACUCCGUG
rnacentral:rRNA from 1 species